CAGUAGCCACGGUAAUACGUAGGUGGCAAGCGUUGUCCGGAAUUAUUGGACGUAAAGGGCUCGCAGGCGGUUUCUUAAGUCUGAUGUGAAAGCCCCCGGCUCAACCGGGGAGGGUCAUUGGAAACUGGGAAACUUGAGUGCAGAAGAGGAGAGUGGAAUUCCACGUGUAGCGGUGAAAUGCGUAGAGAUGUGGAGGAACACCAGUGGCGAAGGCGACUCUCUGGUCUGUAACUGACGCUGAGGAGCGAAAGCGUGGGGAGCGAACAGGAUUAGAUACCCCAGUAGUCCCUGUCUCUUAUAC
rnacentral:rRNA from 1 species